GUGCCCCCUGCGCCGCACGGGGGUGCGACCGUGGACGUGGGGUGCGGGCGCGGACAUCACUACACUAGCCGAGCUGCGUCCGGCCGCGCAGCGCCCGCCGCCAUGUUGACUGAGUGUCGCUCGUGGCAACAGCUUCGAGACGAACACUAGCGCCAUCUUUUUAUUUUCCCGUGCUGUUUUAACGACUAACCAACUAUACGCAUGACCGACGCUAAGCGCGCGCAAAAUUUGUAAAUACGAAUACGAAAUUGUUUAGAUGUAAACAAAACAUAACACCUCUAAUAGAAAACAUAAAAAAUGUAUACGUAUACGUGCAUGAGAGCAGCUAGUCAGGCGUCUAUUUAUAUCGAAACACCGGGCAUCGGGCCCAUAUUAGGCGUCGAGCGCCGAAAAUAAACGGGAGCACAGAAAGCAGCCCCCUGUGGAUCGCGAAGCAAACGCAUUCAGAUUCAACUAUAGCACGUAAUCAUCAUUGAUAUUUCUCAAUGAACUAUCUUAAAUAUAACGAUAUAAUCUAUACUAAUAUAUCUAUUACAGUGGUUUUUACGGAUGUUCCGUUAUAACUACUGAACCAUGCAGCCGAUUGACUUAAAACUUGGUAUCCAUGUAGAAAAUACAUGUACUUAAUGGAUAGGCUAAUAUUUAUAUGAGUGUUAAUGACGAGAAUCUUUCUGGGGGUGAGAAAUAAUAAUGUUAAUUUUAAAUGUCCAGCGAAGCGGACGGGUACAGCUAGUAUAAUAUAAAAUAUAACGAUAUUUUUGAAAACAAUAAAUCAAUAGGUGUUAUUAGGUAACUAUAGCUAUUGCACAGACAAAAAAUGAAAUGUGUUCAAUCAAAAAAAAUAAGGCUACUAUUUUUGUUAGGUCUCUGUGGUGCAAUUUCAUUGAUAUCAUUAUAAUUUAAUCAUAAGUGACAAAUGAAUAGUAACAAUUUUAUACGCGGCUUCCAUCGCUUUAAUGUAGAUAUUGAAAAAAAAUUAUGUAACUACAUAUUAUAUGCGACGGAAACAGUCCUUUUUUUUCUGAAUAAAAAAAAUACCUUGUGUACUUGUCGGCUGUCUAAGUCCUUGAAUAUUUCAUAAAUAAACAAACAAACUUACAUUUGCAUUAAUAACAAUAGUAUGGAUAUAUUGAUACGAAGGCGUACGUGGUAUUUGACUCUAAUAAAUAUGUUGAAAAUGAUGCAGAAAUGAUGUUUUAUAUUUCAAAAAAUAUUUUGUUGGUUGUUUAGUUCAGUUUAAUAAUUUUAUAAUAAGUGUGUACUUGAUUUUUUUAACGUUUGACGAGUAAGUAUUUCUAUACUAAUAUUAUAAAUAAAUAAAUAAAUAAAUAAAUAAAA